rnacentral:lncRNA from 1 species
AUGUCCUUUGCGGUGGAUCACAGCUACCUGCUGAGAAACUCCUGGAGGGCAGAGGCAUGCCUGCCAUCUUCAUCAUUGCAUUACCACCACCCAACACUAUCGGGGGACCUGCCCUGAUAAUCAGUAAAACCAACACAAAACAGAUGAAAGAAGUAACCAUCGGUAGUCCUGACAUCAACAUGAGCUUCAACCAUCGUUGAACAUUUUUCAACCAUGGAACAUAUUUUGUCACAGGAUCAACCACCAACAUGAAUGACACAGUGACUACCUGGACCAGGAAGUUUAUGACCAAUCGACCGUUCCAGAGGAAACAAAUGGUCACCAAUGUCCUUCACCCCGGAAAGGCAACAAAAUGUACAAGACCACAAUGGAUGUCAUCUUCAUAUUAAUAGUUGGACUCAGAACCCAUUUUGGUGGUGGUUAAACAAUCGUCACCCACAUUGGAGUGCAGUGGUACGAUCUCAGCUCACCAAAUCUCUGCCUCCCAGGCUUAAGCAAUUCUCCUGCCUCAGCCUCCCCCGCAGCUAGGAUUACAGGCACGCACCACUACUGCCUGGCUAAUUUUUAUGUUUUUAGUAGAGAUGGGGUUUCACCUUGUUGGCCAGGCUGGUCUUGAACUCCUGACCUCAAAUGAUCCACCCGCCUUGGCCUCCCAAAGUGCUAAGAUUACAGGCAUGGGUCACUGUGCCCAGCCUUUUCUGUAUUAAAUUUUUAAAAACACAACAUUUAAAAUAAUCAAGUCAUUCUUUUUGAAUCUACUUUGUAUUAUAGGUAUCCAAAUACUCACCUAUUCUCUCUCACAUGAUGACAAACUCGUUGAAAUGUCAUUUCAUUUUGUGGCUCCAGCCCCAGGGAUUCUGAGUCUGAUUCUAAAGGGCCUGCAUGCAGAGCAAGCAAGCCGCCUGGAUGAUUCUCUUACAGGUGUUUUAAGGGCAUCAGUUUGAGACACCCUGAUGCAAAAGAACGAACCCUCAAGGAAGUUGGCUGUACAUGUAUUUUCCUUCCUAGCACAGGAAAAGACAGAAAGAUUAUCCAAUCAGUACCACUCAUAGCACCUGAUUAUAUAUGUAUGAGGAAUUCAGAAAUGGUUUGAUCAAGGUUGAAGACCUAAAAAGUAGCUUUUCUCUCGGACACCAAGUCCCCAUCUCAUGCGUGGUUGAGUUAGUAGAAUCUGAGGAUGAUGCUUCUUCCUCCAGGAUUGGUAUCCUAUGGUUUUUGUUGUUCAGUAAAUGAAGUACCUCCAUCCCCCAACAUCCCCA